UCUUAGAAUAUUUUGGAAAAUUUAAAUUGUUUUUUUAUUUAUUGAAAUAAUAAAAAAUUUGGAAUAUUUAUGCAGAUAGAAAGUAAACCAUUAUCGACAAUUGUUUUAUAAAAAAUGUCUUGGACCAAUCAUUGCAAAGGGAUAACUUCAUUGAAGAAACUACUAUUACAAUGAGGACCAACAUCUAGACAUAAAGGAAUAUUCCGAAAAAAAGCAUCACUUAUAUAAAUAUAUCUAAAUAUAACAAAUGGACAACAAAUCACCAUCGACAACGUAGUGAAAAGAAAAAAAAAGUUUCAGUGAAUAAAUGUUAUCAGAACUCGAUAGGAAUCUGUCGAAUCAAGCAAGAAAUACAUUAUUUGGAUAAACAAAUUUUAAUUUAACAACUGAAAAACAAAUAUAUACAAAGCGUAAAUCUACGCCAUCUAUCAAGCAAUUUCGGAAUUACAGAUUCAUUUUUACUUCUUUAAGAAAAUAUUGUAAAACAAUAUCAAAACAUCAUGAUGAUAUCAACAAAAAUUGUAAUGUCUUUCCAUCGUAUAUAAUUACUUUAUUUGUCAAAUCAACAAUAAUAAUACAUAAUCCUAUUUGUAAUAUUAAUGACAAAUUUAAAUUUAUGACGUCAUCAACAGUUGUGGGAUUAUUUGAUGCGGUCUUACAAUGCCCGGCCAAGUUUCAAACUAUGGUAAACGCGAACACAGUUAAACAUAGAAAAUGUCAAAAAGAGUAAAUGUCGACGAAUUUUUAAAUUUUGGCAUGUCGUCGUCAAUCGCGUGAAAAAUGCAUCACUGGGGUUUAUUUCCAAGAGAAACAAAUACAUUUUACAAAUUAAAGGAUUCAUAAAAUUGCAGAAAGAGAAUUGAUACAAGAACUAGAUGUUUCACUAUCCCUAAUAACGAAAUAACCAAAUAUUCGUUUUAUUUAUUUCGGAAAUGCAAAAAAAGCUGACGUCCCAGGUAUGGGUUUAGACCAUUGAAGAGCCAAUUGAGAGAGCUUCAAAAUGACGUACUACUCAAUCACCUUGAAGCGGUCGAGAAUGUGUAAAACUACCCCCAAUACUAAAAUAACCAAAUGUUUAUUUUAUUUAUUUCGGACUCGCAAAAAAAGCUGACGUCCCAGGUAACAAAUUAGGCCAUUGAAAAACCGCUUAGAAGAUGCUAGUUUAACAGCAAAAUUUAUCAUCAAUGACUUAUCAAUAAAACGACUUCUGAUAACUUCAAGAGAAAUUACCAUAAGAAAUUUAAAUAAACCAUCAUUGCCAAUUUGGAAAGAAAAUUAUCCAAGUAAAAUAUUAUUUGGAUAAAUGGAUAUAAACACAGUUGCGACGUUAUCCAAUACGGUUCUGCAGUGCCCUUCCGAAUUUGAAUCUAUGGUAUACACAACCAUAUUCGAACACGAAGAAGAGUCGUUGAAGACGCCGAGAUGAGAACAAGAUUUUGGAAUAUCGUCGUUCAUCGCGCAAAGAAUACAUCGCGGGGAUUUAUUUUGAGAAGAAACAGAAAUAUUUCAUACAUAACAUUUGAUUAGGAUACCCAAGAAAUUACGCAAAAGCAAAACAAUACAGAUAAUAGAAAAGUGAGCAUACAGAAAAAUAUUUGAUAUGAUUCAACAACAAGGUGUUUAGUCAUAAAGAAUGAUUCCAAUUCGGAUUAGAUAGUUUUCAUCAAGUACGAGUGAAUAUACCUCGUACAACAUAAAAAUUACUGCGAGUUAGUUAUCAAAGAAACAAUUGUAGACAACUUCUAAAGAAAUUGUCAUAAGGAACUUGCCAAAAUUGCCAUCACCGAUUUGAGAUGGAUAUAUUUCUGCAAAUGAACAACAAACCAUCAUUGACCAUUGAUGAUCACUUUUAUGAAGAAUGUCUUUGACCAUUCAUCCAAAAAAAAAGCCGUUGAUAAUUUCAUCAAAAAGAUUACCGUUGUGACCCUGCAAGGACCGAUGUCAUCUAGACGAGAAGAGGUUUUCCAAGAAAUAGGAUACUCGAAUAAAAAGAUUCAAAUGUACCAAGCAAGUUUUAAAUAAACUCAUAUCGUAUAUUA